rnacentral:Y_RNA from 1 species
GGUUGGUCCGAGUGCAGUGGUGUUUAUAACUAAUUGAUCACAACCAGUUACAGAUUCCUUUGUACCUUCUCCGCUCCCACUGCUCCACUUGAUCAGCCUUAA